CCAGGCUCGAACGGCAUCUGACAUCCUACGAAAGUAGGCUCCCGCAAGGGCAGGUGUCGAGGUGCUGCAUGGCUGUCGUCAGCUCGUGUCGUGAGAUGUUGGGUUAAGUCCCGCAACGAGCGCAACCCUUGUCUUCUGUUGCCAUCGAGUUAUGCCGGGCACUCUGAAGAGACUGCCGGUGACAAACCGGAGGAAGGUGGGGAUGACGUCAAGUCAGCAUGGCCUUUAUGUCUGGGGCCACACACGUGCUACAAUGGCAGGUACAAACCGUCGCGAGACCGCAAGGUGGAGCUAAUCGGAGAAAGCCUGUCUCAGUUCGGAUUGUAGGCUGCAACUCGCCUGCAUGAAGUUGGAAUCGCUAGUAAUCGCGGAUCAGCACGCCGCGGUGAAUACGUUCCC
rnacentral:rRNA from 1 species